rnacentral:rRNA from 1 species
UACGGAGGGUGCAAGCGUUAAUCGGAAUUACUGGGCGUAAAGCGCGCGUAGGCGGCCAGGCCAGUCGGAUGUGAAAGCCCUCGGCUUAACCGGGGAACCGCAUUCGAAACUGCCUGGCUGGAGUCUCGGAGAGGGCGGCGGAAUUCCCGGUGUAGGAGUGAAAUCCGUAGAUAUCGGGAGGAACACCAGUGGCGAAGGCGGCCGCCUGGACGAUGACUGACGCUGAGGUGCGAAAGCGUGGGUAGCAAACAGG